CCUUCAAUUUCCCUCUCUCUCUCUAGAAUUCUUUCAAUUUCUUCCUUUCUUCCUUUCAUGGAUUCCCCUUCUCGAUCCUCUGUCAUAGUCAUCGGCGCCGGUGCUUCCGGUCUGUCGGCGGCGAAGGUGCUGGUGGAGAACGGAAUAGACGACGUGGUGAUUUUAGAGGCUUCCAAGCGUAUUGGAGGAAGAGUAUGUAAGGAGAAUUUCGGAGGUGUAUCGGUGGAGCUUGGAGCGGGGUGGAUUGUUGGAGUCGGCGGUAAAGAGCAGAAUCCGAUUUGGGAACUUGCUCUCAAAUCCAGUCUCCGUACAUGCUUCUCUGAUUACAGCACUACUCGCUACAAUAUCUACGAUCGGAGUGGGAAAAUUUUUCCGAGUGGAGUAGCGGCUGAUUCGUACAAGAAGGCGGUGGACUCUGCGAUUCAGAAGCUGAGGAACCAGGCGGCGGAUGCCGCUGAUGUCUCCAUUGUAUCGGAGCCGCCUUGCACGCCGAAGACUCCGAUGGAACUCGCCAUAGACUUUACGCUCCACGAUUUCGAGAUGGCAGAGGUUGAGCCUAUACCGACGUUCUUGGAUUUUGGAGAGAGGGAAUUUUUGGUAGCAGAUGAAAGAGGGUAUGAAUGUUUGCUCUACAAAAUGGCCGAGGAUUUUCUUUUGACCUCAGAGGGGAAAAUCUUGGACACUCGUCUCAAGCUCAACAAGGUUGUUCAGGAAAUACAACACUCGAGAACCGGCGUUACUGUAAUAACGGAGGAUGGAUGCAUCUAUGAAGCCAAUUAUGUGGUUUUGUCUGUCAGCAUUGGUGUUCUCCAAAGCCACCUAAUUUCUUUCACUCCACCUUUACCCAGUUGGAAAACAGAGGCCAUAGAGAAAUGUGACGUGAUGGUAUAUACAAAGAUUUUCCUCAAGUUUCCAUUUAAGUUCUGGCCGUGCGGCCCCGGAAAAGAAUUCUUUAUUUAUGCCCAUGAAACCAGGGGCUACUACACGUUUUGGCAGAACAUGGAGAAUGCCUAUCCUGGGUCCAAUAUCCUUGUAGUGACAAUAACGAAUGGAGAAUCGAAACGUAUCGAAGCUCAAUCUGAUGAGGAGACAUUGAGGGAAUCCAUGGAAGUGCUUAGGGAUAUGUUCGGACAUGACAUUCCAGAUGCUAUUGACAUACUUGUUCCUCGCUGGUGGAGUAACAGGUUCCAGCGUGGUAGCUACAGUAACUACCCCAUCACCUCUGAUUGCCAAGUUAUUCAAAACAUUAAGGAGCCCAUUGGACGUAUCUUCUUCACCGGAGAACACACAAGCGAAAGAUUUAAUGGCUAUGUACAUGGUGGAUAUCUUGCAGGCAUAGACACAAGCAAUGCCUUGUUGGAAGAAAUCAGGAAAGAAGAUGAAAGAAAAAGCGACGGUCAAUCGUUCUUGUUAGAGCCAUUGCUAGCUCUAACAGGAUCAUUAACUUCGACCCAAACCGAAGCAGCCUCAGGCCUUCACAAAUGUGAUCUUCCAACACAAUUGUACCUUAACAGCAACCACGGCAUCCCGGAAGCAAUUUUAUGACUACAUGGACGACAUACAGAGGAACAUGGAUCUCGUUUGUACGACAAAGACAACACGGUUAAGAUGAGUUCGAAUCCAAAUUCGAUUCGGGACUCCAAUACCGUACAUGAAGAAGAAUGCAUGAAAUGAAGCAGGAGAUAGUUAAAGAAAUAAAGCUGAAGAUAUGAUGGAUGAUCUUCAUAGAAACCAAGGUAUCUCCAAUCACCAUUGUUGUUUACUCAUAGCUGUUCUUUAUAAUUCUUUAGUAUCUGUAACGCCCCAGAUCCACCGCUAGCAGAUAUUAUCUUCUUUGGGCUUUCCCUUUCGGGCUUCCCCUU